ensembl:lncRNA
CUUCAGUUGUGUCCGACUGUGUGACCCCAUAGACGGCAGCCCACCAGACUCACCCAUCCCUGGGAUUCUCCAGGCAAGAACACUGGAGUGGGUUGCUAUUUCCUUCUCCAAUGCAUGAAAGUGAAAAGUGAGAGUGAAGUCGCUCAGUUGUGUCCGACUCUGUGCAACCCCAUGGACUGCAGCCUGCUAGGCUCCUCUGUCCAUGAGAUUUUCCAGAAAAAGAGUACUGGAGUGGGGUGCCAUUGCCUUCUCCAGCGGCUGAAAACAGGCUGCAGCAAAAGACCAGCUGCCUGGCUCCCUGGGCGGCUGGGAAGCGGAUCAGCAUGUCCAGAGCUCCCCUCCUGGCUGGGGCCGGGUACCCAGGGGACCCCCUUCACCCACACCUCUUCUUGCUUCCUCCCCUUUCCCACUGACUCCUGGCCUCACUUCCCAAGUUAAAUACUAGCCUGGAAACCAUAUCUCAGGGUCAGCUUCUGGGGAAUCCAGCCAAGAUAGUUGUCAUCACAGAAAAAAAAGGAACCUAUACUUAACUGCAAUUUGAAUAUGUGUUGAACACCUGUUAGAGAAAUACAUCCUGAGAAAAAGGCAGUGCAUUUUAAAACAGAACUCCUGGGUUACUUUCUCUGAACUUGAAGCCAGUCGUUGACCCUGCGCUGUCUGCCUGACUUUUGCCCCUCCAUCCUGAAUCACAUGCACCCCUCCGAGCUGCCCGCAGCCCUGUGAGCUGAUUGCAUUGCUUCUCUCCCCCUGGCCCGGUGCUGAGUGGAACGCCAACAACAGGAGAGCGACCAGCCAUGGUGUGACAAGACACAAUAUGGAUUAAUAGAAAAAAGAUGCUAGAGGCAGUUGAAUUCUAGAAAGCACUUUCAGAAGUUUAUUUUCUGCACGAAACUGAUCGUCCAACCAGUGAUGCAGACGCUGUCUCCACACGAGCACUUGGCAGCCGUCCGAGCUCACUCCUCAGGUCAGCGAGCCUUGGCGCCGUGCCUCACAGUCUGGGUGCUGCGCUCCUCUCCUGCACACCCUUUCUUGGUUUCUGCGAAUUAAGCUUAUCUGCCAUUAAAGACAUUAUAAUUGUC